GACGAACGCUGGCGGCGUGCUUAACACAUGCAAGUCGAACGAAGAGCGAUGGACGCUUGCUUCUAUCAAUCUUAGUGGCGAACGGGUGAGUAACGCGUAAUCAACCUGCCCUUCAGAGGGGGACAACAGUUGGAAACGACUGCUAAUACCGCAUACGAUCUAAUCUCGGCAUCGAGGAUAGAUGAAAGGUGGCCUCUACAUGUAAGCUAUCACUGAAGGAGGGGAUUGCGUCUGAUUAGCUAGUUGGAGGGGUAACGGCCCACCAAGGCGAUGAUCAGUAGCCGGUCUGAGAGGAUGAACGGCCACAUUGGGACUGAGACACGGCCCAGAAUCCUACGGGAGGCAGCAGUGGGGAAUCUUCCGAAAUGGACGAAAGUCUGACGGAGCAACGCCGCGUGAGCGAUGACGGCCUUCGGGUUGUAAAGCUCUGUUAAUCGGGACGAAAGGCCUUCUUGCGAAUAGUGAGAAGGAUUGACGGUACCGGAAUAGAAAGCCACGGCUAACUACGUG
rnacentral:rRNA from 1 species